UACAGAGGGUGCGAGCGUUGUCCGGAAUCACUGGGCGUAAAGGGCGCGUAGGCGGCCUGAUAAGUAGGGGGUGAAAUCUUGUGGCUCAACUGCAAGACUGCCUUCUAAACUGUCAGGCUGGAGCACGGUAGAGGCAGAUGGAAUUCCCGGUGUAGCGGUGGAAUGCGUAGAGAUCGGGAAGAACACCAGUGGCGAAGGCGGUCUGCUGGGCCGUUGCUGACGCUGAGGCGCGACAGCGUGGGGAGCAAACAGG
rnacentral:rRNA from 1 species